UUUCAUACGUGGAACUUUUCAGAUGUCAAAAAAAUCACAUUAGUUAUAUCAAAAUUGUAUUUAAGGAUAGAAUUUUGAUUGGGUAUUUUCAGUUGGAUCUCUGAUGGAUCCAAGUCGGCCUCUGCCAUAUGGAUAUAGCAGCUUGCUCGAGUGUUUAUCCAGAGCUGCUUUCCUUGCAGAGCCUGAUAAAAUUUCAGAUUUUCUCAUCUCACACUUUCAGAGAUUGAUACAGGCUGGAGCCAGCGAGUCAGUGGAUCUCAAGGAUCUGGCCUUUAGCAAUCAAGAAGAGUGGGAGAAACAGAUAUUGAAACAGGCAAUCCGGAAAAGGGCAUUACAAAGAAGCCUGAAAGCAGAGGAAUCUCGUCGUGCUUCAUCUUUAAUCGCAACCUCUUCUCGAUAUCCAACAAGGAGGACAAGUGCAGCAUCUAUCUCCAGGUUACGCCUCACAACUCAGGGUGCAGACGAGUUAUCAGACGAUGAUUUGAAAGCAAGCAAGCUUUCUACCGCAGCUCCACCUAAGAGAAAAACCCUCUUCAAGGGCAGUGCUUGGUUAAGGGUCGUACAACCCAAACCCAAGAAAGCACACCCUUAUUUGGACUACUUUUGUGUCUAUAUACUGCCUAUUAGAAACCGUACCAAGAAUUCCAAGCCAAUAACACCCCGUACGGUAUUCAGCAACACCAACAUAUGGCCAAAGAAACCAAUUGAACAGUUUCCAAAGAUACAUUAUCAGUACCGACCCAAGGAUGGUUAUUGGUAUGAUGCCAUGUUGGUAUGACUAACAGAAAUACACCAUUGUUUUCCAACCCUUCUAUGAAUCCCAGUGCUGAAGUGACAGAGUCAAUCUUUGGCUUUGUCAGCAGCACCCGGCCAACCUACUACACAGUGGGGUAGAGAUUGUUGUGGAUGAGCAAGUCAUCAGAAAAACUCAGUCACCAGAGGUAGUUGACACCAGGAUUAGUUAUCAAAUAUUCACUAGGACCAAAGAAGGUUUUCAGAAUCAUGUUCCUAUAUGGACAGAACCCUAUCAAGAGCAGUUUGUGGGUGAAGUUUGUCUCAUCAAAGAAGACAAAUUCAUAUCUGGACGUUUCUGUCUGCAGAAGAAACACCAAUUCAGAAUUAACCCCAUCACCCGGACAGUUUUCUUAAAAAAUACAGAACCGUCCUCAAACAUGAGAUGGGGUUCAUGCCGUGUCGGUAUGAAGGUUAUCUUAAAUCAUAGCACUCGACCCGUUCUUGAGUAACUUUGCAUCUCUGCCAAGAGUUCAUCUGUCAAGGCACCAAUCACUGACUGUUGGUGACCUGAAAGAUAUUCUCAAUCCAAAAAGUAAAACUAAAUCAGACUGCAUUUUUCACAGAGGCUCUGGAGGAAUCUUUGCUUUACGGCACAACAUUCCUGAAUAUGUUGCAUUCCAGUCAAUCUUUCACUUAAUGAAAAUGCUAGCCAAAUGCCUGCCAGAUCAUUUCAGAAAUACCAUUUUUUUGAGUAUCCCACAUCUCCAAGGAUUUACUCAAGGCUCUGGUCCAGGCUCCUCUUUGGAGAGAAUGUAACACAACAUCCAUAAUAUAAGAAAAAUGACCUGAAAACGGAACUUGAAUGUUGAUUGUGCUUCUUACUGAGCAGUAAACAUAGGACUUUCUUUGACUGCUUAUACAAUUCCGAGGCUAGGACAAAUUAUUUAAGGUCCAGGAAUCAGAAAUCUGGACAAGUCUGAGUCUCUUGGGCCCAUUCAAAAGAAAACCUGCCCCCCUUUGCCUCAAUUAAGUUGGAAACUCUGAGAGCACUGAUGCCACUCUAAUAAAGAAUCUUUUUGCAGGAC